AUUGAACGCUGGCGGCGUGCUUAACACAUGCAAGUCGAGCGGUAACAGGUGUAGCAAUACAUGCUGACGAGCGGCGAACGGGUGAGUAAUGCUUCGGAAUCUUCCUCGUAGUGGGGAAUAACCUGGGGAAACUCAGGCUAAUACCGCAUACGAACUACGGUUGAAAGCAGGGGAUCGCAAGACCUUGCGCUAUGAGAUGAGCCGAAGUCGGAUUAGCUAGUUGGUGAGGUAAAGGCUCACCAAGGCGACGAUCCGUAGCUGGUCUGAGAGGACGACCAGCCACACUGGGACUGAGACACGGCCCAGACUCCUACGGGAGGCAGCAGUGGGGAAUAUUGGACAAUGGGGGCAACCCUGAUCCAGCGACGCCGCGUGUGUGAAGAAGGCCUGCGGGUUGUAAAGCACUUUUAGUGGGGAUGAAAAGCCAAGGGCUAAUACCCUUUGGUCUUGACCUAACCCAAAGAAAAAGCACCGGCUAACUCUGUGCCAGCAGCCGCGGUAA
rnacentral:rRNA from 1 species